GACGAACGCUGGCGGCGUGCUUAACACAUGCAAGUCGAACGGAAAGGCCCUGCUUUUGUGGGGUGCUCGAGUGGCGAACGGGUGAGUAACACGUGAGUAACCUGCCCUUGACUUUGGGAUAACUUCAGGAAACUGGGGCUAAUACCGGAUAGGAGCUCCUGCUGCAUGGUGGGGGUUGGAAAGUUUCGGCGGUUGGGGAUGGACUCGCGGCUUAUCAGCUUGUUGGUGGGGUAGUGGCUUACCAAGGCUUUGACGGGUAGCCGGCCUGAGAGGGUGACCGGCCACAUUGGGACUGAGAUACGGCCCAGACUCCUACGGGAGGCAGCAGUGGAGAUUAUUACACAAUGGGCAGAAGCCUGAUGCAGCAACGCCGCGUGCGGAAUGACGGCCUUCGGGUUGUAAACCGCUUUCGCCUGUGACGAAGUGUGAGUGACGGUAGUGGGUAAAGAAGCACCGGCUAACUACGUG
rnacentral:rRNA from 1 species